GGCUCACCAAGCCGACGAUCUGUAGCUGGUCUGAGAGGACGACCCAGCCACACUGGGACUGAGACACGGCCCAGACUCCUACGGGAGGCAGCAGUGGGGAAUUUUGGACAAUGGGCGCAAGCCUGAUCCAGCAAUGCCGCGUGCAGGAUGAAGGCCUUCGGGUUGUAAACUGCUUUGUACGGAACGAAACGGUGAGCUCUAAUACAGUUUGCUAAUGACGGUACCGUAAGAAUAAGCACCGGCUAACUACGUG
rnacentral:rRNA from 1 species